rnacentral:snRNA from 1 species
AGCUUUGUGCAGUGGCAGUAUCAUAGCCAAUGAAGUUUGUCCGAGGUGCAAUUAUUGCUAAUUGAAAUUACAC